rnacentral:rRNA from 1 species
GACUUAAGCAUAUCAAUAAGCGGAGGAAAAGAAACCAACAGGGAUUGCUUCAGUAACGGCGAGUGAAGCGGCAACAGCUCAAAUUUGAAAUCUGACUUCGGUCCGAGUUGUAAUUUGUAGAGGAAUUCUCGGGUGCGAUACCGGUCUAAGUUCCUUGGAACAGGACGUCAUAGAGGGUGAGAAUCCCGUAUGUGACUGGUGGUCAAGCCCAUGUGAGUUUCCUUCGACGAGUCGAGUUGUUUGGGAAUGCAGCUCAAAAUGGGUGGUAAAUUUCAUCUAAAGCUAAAUACCGGCCAGAGACCGAUAGCGCACAAGUAGAGUGAUCGAAAGAUGAAAAGCACUUUGGAAAGAGAGUUAAAAAGUACGUGAAAUUGUUGAAAGGGAAGCGCUUGCAACCAGACUUGCUCACGGGUGAUCCGCUGUCCUUCGGGGCGGUUUAUUCUCCCGUGAUCAGGCCAACAUCGGUUUUGGCGGCUGGAUAUAGGCCUCAGGAAUGUGGCUCUCUCCGGGGAGUGUUAUAGCCUGGGGUGUCAUGCAGCCAGCUGGGACCGAGGACCGCGCUUCGGCUAGGAUGUUGGCGUAAU